rnacentral:rRNA from 1 species
CGCGCAGGCGGUUUCUUAAGUCUGAUGUGAAAGCCCACGGCUCAACCGUGGAGGGUCAUUGGAAACUGGGGAACUUGAGUGCAGAAGAGAAAAGCGGAAUUCCACGUGUAGCGGUGAAAUGCGUAGAGAUGUGGAGGAACACCAGUGGCGAAGGCGGCUUUUUGGUCUGUAACUGACGCAGAGGCGCGAAAGCGUGGGGAGCAAACA